GUGUGAAGAAGGCCUUCGGGUUGUAAAGCACUUUCAGUCGUGAGGAAGGUGGUGUAGUUAAUAGCUGCAUUAUUUGACGUUAGCGACAGAAGAAGCACCGGCUAACUCCGUGCCAGCAGCCGCGGUAAUACGGAGGGUGCGAGCGUUAAUCGGAAUUACUGGGCGUAAAGCGCAUGCAGGUGGUUUGUUAAGUCAGAUGUGAAAGCCCGGGGCUCAACCUCGGAAUAGCAUUUGAAACUGGCAGACUAGAGUACUGUAGAGGGGGGUAGAAUUUCAGGUGUAGCGGUGAAAUGCGUAGAGAUCUGAAGGAAUACCGGUGGCGAAGGCGGCCCCCUGGACAGAUACUGACACUCAGAUGCGAAAGCGUGGGGAGCAAACAGGAUUAGAUACCCUGGUAGUCCACGCCGUAAACGAUGUCUACUUGGAGGUUGUGGCCUUGAGCCGUGGCUUUCGGAGCUAACGCGUUAAGUAGACCGCCUGGGGAGUACGGUCGCAAGAUUAAAACUCAAAUGAAUUGACGGGGGCCCGCACAAGCGGUGGAGCAUGUGGUUUAAUUCGAUGCAACGCGAAGAACCUUACCUACUCUUGACAUCCAGAGAACUUUCCAGAGAUGGAUUGGUGCCUUCGGGAACUCUGAGACAGGUGCUGCAUGGCUGUCGUCAGCUCGUGUUGUGAAAUGUUGGGUUAAGUCCCGCAACGAGCGCAACCCUUAUCCUUGUUUGCCAGCGAGUAAUGUCGGGAACUCCAGGGAGACUGCCGGUGAUAAACCGGAGGAAGGUGGGGACGACGUCAAGUCAUCAUGGCCCUUACGAGUAGGGCUACACACGUGCUACAAUGGCGCAUACAGAGGGCGGCCAACUUGCGAGAGUGAGCGAAUCCCAAAAAGUGCGUCGUAGUCCGGAUUGGAGUCUGCAACUCGACUCCAUGAAGUCGGAAUCGCUAGUAAUCGUGGAUCAGAAUGCCACGGUGAAUACGUUCCCGGGCCUUGUACACACCGCCCGUCACACCAUGGGA
rnacentral:rRNA from 1 species